rnacentral:lncRNA from 8 species
AUCCCAUAGGAAAUUUGUGGGCAGAACUGAAAAAGCAUGUGCGAGCAAGGAGGCCUACAAACCUGACUCAGUUACACCAGCUCUGUCAGGAGGAAUGGGCCAAAAUUCACCCAACUUAUUGUGGGAGCUUGUGGAAGGCUACACGAAACGUUUGACCCAAGUUAAACAAUUUAAAGGCAAUGCUACCAAAUACUAAUUGAGUGUAUGUAAAAUUCUGACCCACUGGAAAUGUGAUAAAAGAAAUAAAAGCUGAAAUUAAUAAUUCUCUCUACUAUUAUUCUGACAUUUCACAUUCUUAAAAUAAAGUGGUGAUCGAUCCUAACUGACCGAAGACAGGGAAUUUUUACUAGGAUUAAAUGUCAGGAAUUGUGAAAAACUGAGUUUAAAUGUAUUUUGCUAAGGUGUAUGUAAACUUCCGACUUCAACUGUAUAUAUAUAUAAUGAAGCUUGCCUUUAUUAUAAAAAGAAACAUCUAAGGAGUAAGAUCAUUUUUUCUAUGAGUGCAUGCUUUCUCUUAUAUAUCAGUGAUGGGCCCUAUUGAAAAUAUAUAUACAUACAAUUUCAUAUAGUUUGUUAUAAAAACAUAUUAGAAUGUCUAACCAUAGAGAAAUUCAAUAGACUGCAUGUUUAAUUCUUGAACAAGUCAUUCUCGUUCAUAUGACUUUAAAACUUUUUUUUUUAAAUGUUUUACAUUUUUAGAUUUGAUUUUAGGUUUAUAUCAGAAUGAUUGGAUGUGUCUCUUUUCAGAUGUUCAUUAGCCUGUUGGAGAGAGUUAUAAAACAGACUAUACAGAAGAAGCCAGUCAGGAAAUGUACAUUCUAUUCCAGAUAGCCUACUGACAGUGAAUAUAUAUCGACUCUGCACAGCAAUACGAGGGAUUUCCAACAUAGUUGGACCAUGGACUGAAACAUUCUCAGCGCCCACAGCAAAUUGAAAUUCUCUUGAAGAAUCUCCCUUUCUGAGUAAUGACUGUAAAGGCAGCUGAAAUCUUCAGUCCUUUGGCACGCAACAACCAAACACCUGUCACACACCUUCAAACCAGGGGCUGCAGCUUUCCUCUAUGGGUCCCCCAACACCAGCUCUGAGGAUGUGACCCCAGGGUGAGCGGCUAUAGAUUGCAGUAACCUGACUGUUAUCAUCAGCAAUAUGAGUUUAUUGUUUUGCCGAUACUUUUCUAACUUCACACAAGCGUUUUGUGAUAGUUUUUCCCUGCUUUCCGGUUACCGCUUGUAAAAUUCAACACUCAUCUUUGCCCCUCA